UAAAGGUAUUCCGGUAGACGAUGGGGAUGCGUUCCAUUAGAUAGUAGGCGGGGUAACGGCCCACCUAGUCUUCGAUGGAUAGGGGUUCUGAGAGGAAGGUCCCCCACAUUGGAACUGAGACACGGUCCAAACUCCUACGGGAGGCAGCAGUGAGGAAUAUUGGUCAAUGGGCGCAGGCCUGAACCAGCCAAGUAGCGUGAAGGAUGACUGCCCUAUGGGUUGUAAACUUCUUUUAUAAAGGAAUAAAGUCGGGUAUGGAUACCCGUUUGCAUGUACUUUAUGAAUAAGGAUCGGCUAACUCCGUGCCAGCAGCCGCGGUAAUACGGAGGAUCCGAGCGUUAUCCGGAUUUAUUGGGUUUAAAGGGAGCGUAGAUGGAUGUUUAAGUCAGUUGUGAAAGUUUGCGGCUCAACCGUAAAAUUGCAGUUGAUACUGGAUAUCUUGAGUGCAGUUGAGGCAGGCGGAAUUCGUGGUGUAGCGGUGAAAUGCUUAGAUAUCACGAAGAACUCCGAUUGCGAAGGCAGCCUGCUAAGCUGCAACUGACAUUGAGGCUCGAAAGUGUGGGUAUCAAACAGGAUUAGAUACCCUGGUAGUCCACACGGUAAACGAUGAAUACUCGCUGUUUGCGAUAUACGGCAA
rnacentral:rRNA from 1 species